UCGAAGGUAGCAUAAUCAGUAGUCUUUUAAUUGAAGGCUGGUAUGAAUGGUUGGACGAGAUAUUAACUGUUUCAUAAAAAUUUAUAUUAGAAUUUUAUUUUUUAGUUAAAAAGCUAAAAUUUAUUUAAAAGACGAGAAGACCCUAUAAAUCUUUAUAUACAGUUUAUUAUAAGUUUGUAGAUUUUUUUUGUUAUAAUGAAUGAUUAUAUUUUAUUGGGGUGAUAUUAAAAUUUAAUAAACUUUUAAUUAAUUAUAAUCAUUAAUUUAUGAAUAAUUGAUCCGUUUUUAACGAUUAAAAAAUUAAGUUACUUUAGGGAUAACAGCGUAAUUUUUUUGGAGAGUUCAUAUCGAUAAAAAAGAUUGCGACCUCG
rnacentral:rRNA from 1 species